UUCUUUUUUUUUUUUUUUUUUUUUUGAGUCAGAGUCUCUCUGGCUGUCUUGGAACUCAUUCUGGAGGCUAAGCUGGCCUUGGAGAAACAGACAUUCACCUGAAUCUGCUUCCCAGGUGCUGGGAUUAAAGGUUUUUUGGUUUUGGUUUGUUUCUGAGAGAGUCUCUCACUCCGGCUGUGGCUAUCCUGGAACUCAUUCUGUAAACCAGGCUGCUCUUGAACCCACAGAGAUCUGCCUGCCACUGCUUCCUGAGUGCCCAGAUAAAAGGCUGCUCCACCAAGAGAAGUGCUCUUGGCUACUGAGCUCUCUCUCCAGCACCUACAGCUUCUGAUGUUCCAUUGGCUUAUGUGUGUGCUUGUCAUCUAGGUAUUUACCGUAGUACACAUGUGGAGGCAGAAAAUGGCUUGAGGGAGUUGGUUCUCCUAUGGAGUGAGCCCCAGGGGUUGAACUGAGGUCAUGAAGCUUAGUGUCAAGCCUUAUCCAUUGAGCUGUCUCCCUGGCCCUGAAUUGUUUUUCCUCCCUGUGUCCAGUGUGAAUCUGGGUCAGAAGGUGAUGGGACAACACAUCGCAGGAAGAAGAGGAGAACUUGCAGCAUGGUGGGAAAUGGGGACACUACCUCACAGGAUGACUGCGUGAGCAAAGAGCGCAGUUCCUCCAGGUGACCACAUGUGGCCGCUGUCUGUGCAAGGCUGUGCUUGCAGCAAGGCUUAGGAGGGCUGACACCCAGAGAACAAGGACACUGAGAUGGGAGUUGGUAGCAUUUGGUACAGUGGCUUUUCUCCAUGGUCAUAUCUUAGGGGCAAAGGUGUGUGGAUGGUGCCAACGAAACCCUUUACCUAUUUAAUAAAGACGAAUACAUUUU
rnacentral:lncRNA from 1 species